rnacentral:rRNA from 1 species
GAUGAACGCUGGCGGCGUGCUUAACACAUGCAAGUCGAACGAUGAAGCCCAGCUUGCUGGGUGGAUUAGUGGCGAACGGGUGAGUAACACGUGAGUAACCUGCCCUUAACUCUGGGAUAAGCCGGGGAAACUGGGUCUAAUACCGGAUAGGAGCGCCUACCGCAUGGUGGGUGUUGGAAAGAUUUAUCGGUUUUGGAUGGACUCGCGGCCUAUCAGCUUGUUGGUGAGGUAAUGGCUCACCAAGGCGACGACGGGUAGCCGGCCUGAGAGGGUGACCGGCCACACUGGGACUGAGACACGGCCCAGACUCCUACGGGAGGCAGCAGUGGGGAAUAUUGCACAAUGGGCGCAAGCCUGAUGCAGCGACGCCGCGUGAGGGAUGACGGCCUUCGGGUUGUAAACCUCUUUCAGUAGGGAAGAAGCGAAAGUGACGGUACCUGCAGAAGAAGCACCGGCUAACUACGUG